rnacentral:rRNA from 1 species
CCUACGGGGGGCAGCAGUGAGGAAUAUUGGUCAAUGGCCGGAAGGCUGAACCAGCCAAGCCGCGUGAAGGACGAAGGUGCCAAGCAUUGUAAACUUCUUUUGUCAAGGGACAAAAUCAGGCUCGAGAGCCUGACCGAGGGUACUUGAAGAAAAAGCAUCGGCUAACUCCGUGCCAGCAGCCGCGGUAAUACUGGGGCUGCGACCGUUAUCCGGAUUUAUUGGGUUAAAAGGGUGCGUAGGGGGACUGUUACGUCAGCGGUAAAAGCGCGGGGCUCAACCCCGGCGAGCCGGUGAAACUGGCUGUCUUGAGAUGGCGAGAGGUAGGCGGAAUGCGCAGUGUAGCGGUGAAAUGCUUAGAUAGUGCGCAGAACUCCGAUUGCGAAGGCAGCAUACCGGCGGCGAUCUGACGCUGAGGCACGAAAGCGUGGGUAUCGAACAGGAUUAGAUACCCUGGUAGUC